UUUUGCCUCCCUACAUUGGCCAUCCAAUCAGAGUAGUCCUUGUUUAUCAAAUAAGUGGAUCCACAUAUGGGCAUGUCACCAAAACAGAGCCAAUCCAAGAUUUUCUGACAACUGAAAUUGAUGUUGGCAUAAAGAGAAUCUUUUUGUUUGUUUAUUUUUCCUGGAUUCACAGGCUGUAGGAUGACGCAUGAUGCAAGUCUGAAGUUGUAUGUGGCCAUCUUUGCCACCACAUUCAGAAAGCUUACCUGAGAAUGAAGUCAACACUGGAGAGAAAGAGAAAGAAAGAGGGAGAACAUAUCAGAAUCUCUCCACAAUGGCAACAAAGAUGGUCACUAGCAAGUCCAAGCCUCCAUUCUCUUUAAAACUUGCAAUCCUUGAGGACAAAGAAAAACGAUCUUUUUUUUCCAAUAUCUAUGUUACUUCUAAAAGAAGGUAUUAAGGAAAGCCUGUAUGAAAUUUCAUUCAUCAGUCAAGACCAUACUGGCCUUGAAUAAAAUUUAUAAGCAGUUUUUUUUUUUUUUUUUUUUUUU
rnacentral:lncRNA from 1 species